rnacentral:rRNA from 1 species
AUUGAACGCUGGCGGCAGGCCUAACACAUGCAAGUCGAGCGGAUGAGGGAAGCUUGCUUCCCGAUUUAGCGGCGGACGGGUGAGUAAUGCCUAGGAAUCUGCCUAUUAGUGGGGGAUAACGUUCCGAAAGGAACGCUAAUACCGCAUACGUCCUACGGGAGAAAGUGGGGGAUCUUCGGACCUCACGCUAAUAGAUGAGCCUAGGUCGGAUUAGCUAGUUGGUGGGGUAACGGCUCACCAAGGCGACGAUCCGUAGCUGGUCUGAGAGGAUGAAUCGCCACACCGGAACUGAGACAAGGGCCAGACACCGUCGGGAGGGAGCAGUGGGGAAUAUUGGAAAAUGGGCGAAAGGCUUGUCCAGCCAAGCCGCGUGUGUGAAGAAGGUCUUCGGAUUGUAAAGCACUUUAAGGUGGGAGGAAGGGUUGUAAGCUAAUAUCUUGCAGCUUUGACGUUACCAACAGAAUAAGCACCGGCUAACUCUGUGCCAGCCGCCGCCGUAAGAC